UCGUGCUAGAUGGGGAGUUAGCGGUGCCCUGUAACCUGCAACCCGCUAUAGCAGGAUUGAAAACUAAAAAGCGGCAUUAUCGAAGUCUAUUUGAAAUGAAAAGUGGUAUUGAAACUUCAAUUCAUCGCAAUGAUUCGAUUUUGAAACCCGUCAGGUCCGGGAGGAAGCAGCGGUAAAAGAUUUGAAUCAUGUACCGGUGAACCACUGAAGUGGAGCUAACUAUUAUUUUACUAUAGAUUUUCCGAUAUGUCAAUCUUUAGUGCACGA
rnacentral:SRP_RNA from 1 species